rnacentral:rRNA from 1 species
ACUCCUACGGGAGGCAGCAGUAGGGAAUCUUCGGCAAUGGGGGCAACCCUGACCGAGCAACGCCGCGUGAGUGAAGAAGGUUUUCGGAUCGUAAAGCUCUGUUGUAAGUCAAGAACGAGUGUGAGAGUGGAAAGUUCACACUGUGACGGUAGCUUACCAGAAAGGGACGGCUAACUACGUGCCAGCAGCCGCGGUAAUACGUAGGUCCCGAGCGUUGUCCGGAUUUAUUGGGCGUAAAGCGAGCGCAGGCGGUUUGAUAAGUCUGAAGUUAAAGGCUGUGGCUCAACCAUAGUUCGCUUUGGAAACUGUCAAACUUGAGUGCAGAAGGGGAGAGUGGAAUUCCAGGUGUAGCGGUGAAAUGCGUAGAUAUAUGGAGGAACACCGGUGGCGAAAGCGGCUCUCUGGUCUGUAACUGACGCUGAGGCUCGAAAGCGUGGGGAGCGAACAGGAUUAGAUACCCCAGUAGUCCCAUGA